GCGAUUGGGACAUCCCACCAGGUGCCCCAGGCUUCAGCCAGGGCACUGCUGCUAGGCCAUGCAGUGAUGCUUGGCCUCGUGCCUGAGAGCUUUCCCUUCUUCACCAGCCCAAGUCCCUUCCCCACCUCUGAAAUCCACAUCCCCAGGGCCAAAACCAACCCACACAGGUGUGACAUGCCUUGAAGGUGGGCCUUUCAUUAGAGGCUGCCCGCCCACCAGGAGGAGGCAGAGAUGAAUAGCUCGAGCAUGGGGGAUCAUUUAGAGAAGAGCAAUGAAGCUGGUGAAGGGAUGAGGAAACAAGAUAUGUGAGGAGCAACUGAAGAAUUUGGGGUGUUUCGUUUGGAGAAGAGGCUGAGAGGAGACCUCAUUGCUCUUCACAAUGACCUGACAGGAUGUCGCAGCAAGGGCUUCACUGGAAUAUGAAGGCUGUGGCAGAACUGCUGUAAUUGGUGCACUCUUGAAAAUAUGAUGAUAUAAAUAACCAAAAUGAGCCUGAAGUGGAGGGGACGUCAGAGAUUUUUUGGUCUGCUCCUUGAGGUAUAACAUGAAACUCGGAGAUUUAACAAAAUCUUCUCUCCCACCCAUCACUGAUGGAGCCUCAGAAGUAACUGUUAAUAGCUGGAACAGUGCCUCAGCCAGCCCCUUUGGUGGCUCCAGAACGGCUUUCCUUGGUCUAGCCUGCCUUCUCUUACCUCUGC